GGAGGGUGGGCUCCGCGGAGAGGUGUUCCCCAUAUACAACAUGCUUCAUGAUGUUGCAUUGUCAAUGAAUCCUCAAUGCUGGGGUUGGAUGGGGGUUACUGGUAAGCUGUCCCUUUUCAGUUCCUCGAGGCCUAAACUAAGCUGCAGGCAUCAGAGUGACUCUACCUCCAACGUGUUGGAUUAACUGAACAAAAGAUGCCUCACCUGGAUAUUCUGGCAACUACAUUUGAAGCUUAGAUUCUUCGAGGGCUGGGAGCUUCGAGGUGCUCUCGUUCAACUCCACGACUUACCAGAUGUAGAAACGGAGGUCCACAGGGGGAAAGUAAUUUCCAGCAUAGGAGCAACUGGGACGAAACCAACUUGACCCCCGAUCUAGCUCUUUUUUCAGGAGUUGAAGAACAGAAUUGCUGCAGGGUCUCUGGCUCACCCGGUCCAGCCCCUGGCUGGGGGGCAGUACGUAGACAGCGGGAGAGGUGACCUGGACAUCCAGACACAGAGCUCACACUCCACCCAGCAGACUGCGGGCCACACUGGUCUUCGACUGCAUCUGCACUUCUCUGGUUCUCUGAUGAUACCUGCCUGAGAGAACCACGUUCACCUGAGACGGAGAGGAGCCUCGGAGACAGACGGGGUUUCCUGGUUCCAUGGCCAGUUGGCACUUUCUCAGAUCAGAGUCAGUUGUGUAAAAUAGAAGUGUGCUUUUUGUGCAGACCAAUUGAAGAUGGUUAUUUUCUAUUAACCUGGCAUUUUUUGCCGUUAGUUCUCUUGGGCCCCAUUUAUAGCUUCAUGGGGAGGGUUUCCAUCUAUUUAUAUCUCCAACCCCCAUUACAUGAAAUAACAUUUAAUCAACCUCUUUUAAGAAAAUCAAUUUUAAUGCAAAAAUGCAAGAUACAUGUUUUGUCUGGGCACGAUUCUUUCAACAGGUGUCUCCUCUUACAGCGGUGUAAACUUGAGAGAAAUAAAGAGUAAUUUUUUGGUGUUGUUUUGGUCAGUGCCAAAACACUGUUGCCAGGUCGGGCAAACAGUGGGCAGGCUUUGCUGGGAGGCCAGAGCUAGUUGGAUGUGUGGAUUUCAUGGGGUGAAGGCCCCAUGUUUUGAACGACGUCAGUGUGGAGGACAGUGCUCUAGGUUCUCGGCCCAGAGGGGCGGCUUGGGAAGCCACAGAAAGGGACAUACUGACACUUCCCCUUCAGGACCUUUUAGCUUAGCUAAGUGUGAAAAAAGACAUAAAGUGACAACAGCAUUCUAUAAUAAUAAUAAUAAUAAUAAUAAAAAUAAUAAUGAUAAUAAUAAUAAUAGCAGUAAUCGUAAUAAUAAUAAAAACAAAGUGUUGUCAGGUGAUCAGAGGGACCUUGACAUUCACCCACGUUCUCUCUGUUCUCUCUCGUGUUCCUUGUGUUUCUAAUAACAUUAGCAAUGUUUUCUACUGGAAAGAGCCCCGGGCUAGGAACUUGGAAAGAAAGCAGGCUGCAAUCUCUGACUUGCCCCUUAAAUGGCCUGCUUUGGGGUAAACCACUUAAACUCUGAAAACUUGUAUUCCUCACCCCACGCCUUCACAGUCUGAUCGCUGGAUUUCCUUCUACCACCAAGUGCUGGGCCCUCAGCACUUACUUUGUCUUUUGCUCUUUGCUUCAGGACCAAGAGGAUUUUCUGAAGAAGAUUUCAUUCUCCCCUUCUUGGAUGGUUUGGCCCAGCAUCCACCCAACCAGAGGAAGUGAAUGGCCUGGGACUAAUCGAGGAUUUUUUUUUUUUUUUCCCAGGACAGGAAGGGGUGGGUCAGUAGGAGACUGAGAGGUGAAGUAAGAAUUCCCACUGGCAAUAUCAACACAUUUACUCAAGGCUUUCUACAUCAUUUGGGAACCACAUGCAAAAUGAAGAUGCCAAACCCUUUGUUCAAAAAGGGAAAAAAAUGUCAUGAAAGGUACUAAAAUAUAAAGCAUGUUCUUUUCUUUUGCUAUCUCCUGAUUUGCCAUGGUGUUUUUAUCUGCUAUUUAAUCUCAUUUUAAAUAAAGAAAAAUUAAAUUUGAAUUAUUAGAAUGAAUUCUACUGUUCAUCUUUAUAUCACAAUGGCAAUUUUAAGUGCAAAUAUAAGAGCAUUGAUCUCCGGGCACCUGGGUGGCUCAGUUGGUUAAGCGACUGCCUUCGGCUCAGGUCAUGAUCCUGGAGUCCCGGGAUCGAGUCCCGCAUCGGGCUCCCUGCUCAGCAGAGAGUCUGCUUCUCCCUCUGACCCUCCUCCCUCUCAUGCUCUCUGUCUCUCAUUCUCUGUCUCAAAUAAAUAAAUAAAAUCUUAAAAAAAAAAAGAGCAUUGAUCUCCUGAGUGAAAUCCCCAAAAAUCACAUGAUGAAUAUUUCCUAGUUUUAACAUACAUAUGUAUUUUGUUCUUUGGAAGAAAAUGGGAUGGUUGUACAAAAGUAACUCCACUGUUUCUAUUCCACUUCUAGAUAUGCUCACAUUCUAACAACACUUGCUACCUUUGGGUUACUGAUGAGUGAGGAAGGACUGAGAAGAAAAGGCACUCUGGGUUGUCUGUCUCUCCCCUUCCCUUAUGUCAUCAUUUUCAGCAUAUGUGGUUGGUGAAUGGAGGGAAGAAAGAUUAUGCUUGGUCGUUAGCCUUUCCAAGGACAGACACACUGCCUUCUGUGUGCAGUCAAAACAAAUUCUGGGUCAAACAAAGUGUGGUCUCCUGGGGCUCUCCCCUUACCUACCCGAUUGUGGGCAUUACACACUUUCUGUGCACUUUGAACCUCCCUGAAUUCCCAUGCGUGAUGGCAUUGGUUCAAAGAUAAAAUUGUGAAGACUUUCAAGAUAGGGACAACAGAGCUUUAAAUCAAGUGCAGCAUCCUUCUGAGCACAGAGCCCUGUGUGACUGCACAGUGUGCAGGACUCCUGUUUUUCAAGGAUUUUCCUAAGACUCCCCUUCCCACUCUUUACUCCCAAGGUCUUGAAGCGCUGGCAACAGCUUUGUUGUGAUUAGGUGCAUAUUUCUCUGCAGAACUUGAAGUUCUUCCUGAUUCUGGUAAUGCUGGAGGCAUGUGUGGUUUAUUUCCACUCCUUGAUGAUCUUAGGCUAUUUGGAGGAGAUUAUGUGGAGAGUUUUAAACUCAAGUGUCUGCUGUUAUCCUGCCGAUUAGGAUGUGUGUGUGUGUGUGUGUGUGUGUGUGUCUGCGUUUGAUGCUAUUGUUAAAAAUAAUCUUUUCUUUUUCCAGAACAAAAGACUGUUUAAUCAAAAACAUUUUCUUUGGACUGGAUAACACAUUCACAAAGAUCAAACAUAAAGAGAUAAAGGUAUAUUAAAAAUUUCAUUUUCUAAUUAUUUACUGCGGUUAUGUAGAAAUAA